CGCGGGGCCGCAUUUGCAUGGAGGGGCCGUGCUGCGGCCGGGCGGGGGUUUAAGAGGGAGUCGGGGUCCGCGGCACAGCCCCGUCGGCGUGGGGACGCGCAGCUGGUGGGAUCUCGCCAUGGCCUGGGCCCCUCUCCUCCUCGCGGUGCUCGCCCACACCUCAGGUUCCCUGGUCCAGGCAGCAACUACUCAGCCGGCUUCGAAGACGGUGAACCCAGGAGACAACGUGGACAUCACCUGCUCCGGAGGUAGCGCUGAUAGUAAUGGCAAAUAUUGGUAUGGCUGGUACCAGCAGAAGACCCCUGGCAGUGCCCCUGUCACUGUGAUCUACUAUAACGACAGGAGACCCUCGGGCAUCCCUUCACGAUUCUCUGGUUCCAAAUCUGGCUCCACAGCUAUGUUAACCAUCACUGGGGUCCAAGCCGAGGACGAGGCCGUCUAUUACUGUCGGAGCGUGGACAGCAGUGCUGGUGCUGGUAUAGUCACACAGAGCAAUGGGGACAUGAGGGACAGAGCACAGAUAGAAAUGCAGGCUUUCUGCCCUUGUCCCUAA